rnacentral:rRNA from 1 species
UACGUAGGGGGCGAGCGUUGUCCGGAAUUAUUGGGCGUAAAGAGCGUGUAGGCGGUUCGGUAAGUCUGCCGUGAAAACCUGGGGCUCAACCCCGGGCGUGCGGUGGAUACUGCCGGGCUAGAGGGUGGUAGAGGCGAGUGGAAUUCCCGGUGUAGCGGUGAAAUGCGCAGAUAUCAGGAAGAACACCCGUGGCGAAGGCGGCUCUCUGGGACGGUACUGACGCUGAGACGCGAAAGCGUGGGGAGCGAACAGG